rnacentral:rRNA from 1 species
UAGCAUAUCAAUAAGCGGAGGAAAAGAAACUAACAAGGAUUCCCCUAGUAACUGCGAGUGAAGCGGGAAAAGCUCAAAUUUAAAAUCUGGCGGCUUUGGUCGUCCGAGUUGUAAUCUAGAGAAGUGUCUUCCGCGCUGGACCGUGUAUAAGUCUCUUGGAACAGAGCGUCAUAGAGGGUGAGAAUCCCGUCUUUGACACGGACUACCAGUGCUUUGUGAUGCGCUCUCAAAGAGUCGAGUUGUUUGGGAAUGCAGCUCAAAAUGGGUGGUAAAUUCCAUCUAAAGCUAAAUAUUGGCGAGAGACCGAUAGCGAACAAGUACCGUGAGGGAAAGAUGAAAAGCACUUUGGAAAGAGAGUUAAACAGUACGUGAAAUUGCUGAAAGGGAAACGCUUGAAGUCAGUCGCGUUGUCUAGAACUCAGCCAGGCUUGCUUGGUGCAUUUUCUAGUCAACGGGCCAGCAUCAGUUUUGACUGCGGGAAAAAGGCCAGAGAAAUGUGGCACCUUCGGGUGUGUUAUAGUCUUUGGUUGUAUACCGUGGUUGGGACUGAGGCUCUCAGCACGCGCAAGCUGUGCUUAGGAUGCUGGCGUAAUGGCUUUAAACGACCCGUCUUGAAACACGGACCAAGGAGUCUAACAAACCUGCGAGUGUUUGGGUGGUAAACCCGAGCGCGAAAUGAAAGUGAAAGUUGGGAUCCCUGUCGUGGGGAGCACCGACGCCCGGACCAGACCUUYUGUGACGGAUCUGCGGUAGAGCAUGUUUGUUGGGACCCGAAAGAUGGUGAACUAUGCCUGAAUAGGGUGAAGCCAGAGGAAACUCUGGUGGAGGCUCGUAGCGAUUCUGACGUGCAAAUCGAUCGUCAAAUUUGGGUAUAGGGGCGAAAGACUAAUCGAACCAUCUAGUAGCUGGUUCCUGCG